rnacentral:rRNA from 1 species
UACGUAGGGUGCAAGCGUUGUCCGGAAUUAUUGGGCGUAAAGAGCUCGUAGGCGGCUUGUCGCGUCGUCCGUGAAAACCUGCAGCUCAACUGCAGGCUUGCGGUCGAUACGGGCAGGCUAGAGUUCGGUAGGGGAGACUGGAAUUCCUGGUGUGAGCGGUGAAAUGCGCAGAUAUCAGGAGGAACACCGGUGGCGAAGGCGGGUCUCUGGGCCGAUACUGACGCUGAGGAGCGAAAGCGUGGGGAGCGAACAGG